UACCAGCACCCCGAGUGGUCGGGACGUUUAUUGGGCCUAAAGCAUCCGUAGCCGGUUCUACGAGUCUUCCGUUAAAUCCAACUGCUUAACAGGUGGGCUGCGGAAGAUACUAUAGAGCUAGGAGGCGGGAGAGGCAAGCGGUACUCGAUGGGUAGGGUAAAAUCCGUUGAUCCAUUGAAGACCACCAGUGGCGAAGGCGGCUUGCCAGAACGCGCUCGACGGUGAGGGAUGAAGCUGGGGGAGCAAACCGG
rnacentral:rRNA from 1 species